UCGACGAUUAUUCACUAUCAGAGGUGCUCGGGCACGUUAGUACCAAACUCACCGUAUGGUGAACACCGACAAAACAAUCGUCGUUGCGCUCAGUUUCCCCGGAAACUCUGUAUGACACGGUCUAGUAAUUGGUCACAUAGUAAUUAUAAGUUUACAUAUAAUUAAUACUAAAACAAAUAUUCUACAUUAAAUAUAUAAAACUUGUGAAUUCGAUUAGAAACCCGUGCUGACGCCCAAUACCCACCUCGCCCAAAAAUUUUGAUUUUUUUUUUCACCCCGGUA